CAAAUAAGUCAACAUUACCAAAAUGGUCUGUUGACCCCUUUAGGAGUUAUUGCCCUUUAUAGUCAAUUUUUUACCAUUUUUCGUAAAUCUUAGUUAUCUUUUACAAAAAUCUUCUCCUCUGAAACUACUGGACUAAAUUAAACCAAACUUGGCCACUAUCAUCAUAAGGGUAUGUAUUUUAAAAAUUGUGUCCGGUGACCCGGCCAACCAACCAAG
rnacentral:lncRNA from 1 species